UAGGCGGUUUGUCGCGUCUGCUGUGAAAUCCCGAGGCUCAACCUCGGGUCUGCAGUGGGUACGGGCAGACUAGAGUGCGGUAGGGGAGAUUGGAAUUCCUGGUGUAGCGGUGGAAUGCGCAGAUAUCAGGAGGAACACCGAUGGCGAAGGCAGAUCUCUGGGCCGUAACUGACGCUGAGGAGCGAAAGGGUGGGGAGCAAACAGGCUUAGAUACCCUGGUAGUCCACCCCGUAAACGUUGGGAACUAGUUGUGGGGUCCAUUCCACGGAUUCCGUGACGCAGCUAACGCAUUAAGUUCCCCGCCUGGGGAGUACGGCCGCAAGGCUAAAACUCAAAGGAAUUGACGGGGACCCGCACAAGCGGCGGAGCAUGCGGAUUAAUUCGAUGCAACGCGAAGAACCUUACCAAGGCUUGACAUAUACGAGAACGCUGCAGAAAUGUAGAACUCUUUGGACACUCGUAAACAGGUGGUGCGUGGUUGUCGUCAGCUCGUGUCGUGAGAUGUUGGGUUAAGUCCCGCAACGAGCGCAACCCUCGUUCCAUGUUGCCAGCGGGUUAUGCCGGGGACUCAUGGGAGACUGCCGGGGUCAACUCGGAGGAAGGUGGGGACGACGUCAAAUCAUCAUGCCCCUUAUGUCUUGGGCUUCACGCAUGCUACAAUGGCCGGUACAAAGGGUUGCGAUACUGUGAGGUGGAGCUAAUCCCAAAAAGCCGGUCUCAGUUCGGAUCGAGGUCUGCAACUCGACCUCAUGAAGUUGGAGUCGCUAGUAAUCGCAGAUCAGCAACGCUGCGGU
rnacentral:rRNA from 1 species